GUUAGGAAUAUUGGACAAUGGGCGCAAGCCUGAUCCAGCCAUGCCGCGUGAGUGAUGAAGGCCUUCGGGUUGUAAAGCUCUUUAGUCCACGAAUAUAAUGACUGUAGUGGAAGAAUAAGCCCCGGCUAACUUCGUGCCAGCAGCCGCGGUAAUACGAAGGGGGCGAGUGUUAUUCGGAAUCACUGGGCGUAAAGCGUGCGUAGGCUGUUUUGUAAGUCAGAAGUGAAAGCCCAGGGAUUAACCCUGGAAUUGCUUUUGAAACUACAAGACUCGAAUUCGGGAGAGGAUAGCGGAAUUGUCAGUGUAGCAGUGAAAUGCGUAGAUAUUGACAGGAACACCAGUGGCGCAAGCGGCUAUCUGGACCGAUAUUGACGCUGAGGCACGAAAGCGUGGGGAGCAAACAGGAUUAGAAACCCGGGUAGUCC
rnacentral:rRNA from 1 species